rnacentral:misc_RNA from 1 species
GCUUCUGCUAGUUGCCUGGUUAUUAUUCUAAAGGAUAGACUGUUGCAUACUGUAUGCAUGUGAGGUACUAAAGAACAUUAUUUAUAACUCAGAAGGAUUUUAAAAGCUGUUGGAAUACAGAUACAGAAUGGAUACCUCUGCUUUGUGUGAAAGAUUACAAGUUCCAAAACACCUGAAACAAAACUGGAUGAAGGAUCAAUGUAACGUUUGCACUACUUCGGCUGCGCAACUAAAACACGAAGCAAUCUCCAUGGUACAGUCGCUCGAAGCUACACAAGUUAAGAAAGACUCGGCAUCAGCCAGGGCUCCCUCGCUGGCUGGCCCACGCGAUUUAGCAUCCCUCCAACGUUAUGUAUACACGCAGCAGCCCAACGAAAAGGAAUCAAAGCACCAUCCACAUAGGCAGAUGAGACAAGGCCGGAGUCACUCAAAUCAACAUAGGAUUCAGGGGGCAUCGCCUGUUGCAAUGGAACAGACGAAAAAAUACCUUGAAGAAAACUUUGGCUCUGGAAACUAUAGUAAAGCACAAUUGAAUUCCUUACUAGUUCAGAGACAGAAUAAUAUCGGAAUGCCAAAUGGUUCCAAAGGUGCAGAAAUUGGUCUUAGCCGAGGUCCUAUUCCACAAAACCUUGCAUCUAUACCUCCAGAGCGCUUGGCAGUCCUUCAGACCAUGGCGAACCAACAGGUUUUGGUACCGUUAAGCAAUGGAGUUUUACCGCGGGGUCAGAUGGCAACAGAUAUCCAGGUCACUGCUGCAUCGUUAGCUGGAACUUCUGCUGCUGCAUCUUUCUUUGCCAGAGCGGCACAAAAAUUGAAUUUGAGCUCCAAGAAAAAGAAACGACACCACCAAGGAUGUCUACCACCAGAGCUUCCUCCACCAGACCCACCGCUCUUCCCAACCAACUUCUGUCAAACACUACGAGUUUGUCCUCCUGCAGCUCCACCCUCACUGCUCCGCAAUGCCGGACGGAUAAAGGACGCACCUGGAGCUGGAAAGGUAAAAGUGAUGUUGCGUGUGGUACCAUCCAGUAAUCCCCACGACACAGCUACAUUCGUCACCGUUGAUCAGAAAAAGAAGCAAGUCACCUUAUUUGACCCAUCGUUCAUGACCAAUCCGGCCAGUUCGUCAAAUCGCCGUACGGGCGUAACAGCACCAAAGAUGUUUGCGUUCGAUUCAGUGUUCCCUCAGGAUUCCUCCCAGGCUGAAGUAUGUGCAGCAAGUAUUGGGGAUAUCGUACAAGCAGUUGUAAAUGGUGCUGAUGGCUGUCUGUUCUGCUAUGGCCAUUCAAGACUCGGGAAAUCAUUCACUAUGAUUGGUCGAGAUGAUAGUGUACAAAAUCUUGGUGUUAUCCCAUGCGCCAUUGAGUGGUUGUUUCGCUUGAUCAACGAGAAAAAGGAGAAAACGAGUACACGGUUUUCGGUCCGUGUUUCAGCAGUUGAAGUUCACGGGAAGCAGGAGAACCUAAAAGACCUACUGGCUGACCAAGCCAACGGUAGCAAUAAUGGCUGCGGUACCUCACCUGGGAUCUACCUGGCUGAGGACCCAAUCUGCGGAGUUCAACUCUUGAAUCAGAGCGAGCUUAGGGCACCCUCUGCCGAGAAAGCAGCCUUCUAUCUUGACGCCGCCAUCGCAGCGAGGAAAUCAAAAACCUAUCCAACAGAUGAGCCUGUCCCCGAAGAGGAAUCACGCAACUCUCACAUGCUCUUCACGUUGCACGUGUAUCAGUACCGCUUUGAGAAGUCUGGCAAAGGAGGUGUAAUGGGUGGCAGGAGUCGUCUGCACUUGAUUGAUCUCGGCAGCUGCGAUAAAGGCAGCAGGACCGGCAACGGGCAAGCAUUAUCGUUCUCCUCAUUGGGAAAUGUAGUCCUCGCGUUAUUGAACUCCGAUAAACACAUUCCUCACAGAGACAGCAAAUUGACCCAGUUGUUGCGGGAGUCAUUAGGAAGCAUUAAUUGCCGUGCCACAAUGAUAGCUCAUGUGUCCUCCGCCAUCUCGUGCUAUAAUGAAACUUUGAGCACCAUCCAACAGGCAGCUAGAAUCCACAGGAGAGGCAAGAAGAAAGCUAAAUACUCAGGAACGAGCUCCUCUGGCGGAGACAGCUCUUGUGAAGAAGGGCGCAGACGUCGACCUCACUUCAGAUCAAUCCACACCAGAAAUAUCAAUGGAAUCACGGUUACAAAUGCUAUCCGCCAAAGUGAUCCAGAGUACAUAUCUAGCAGUGAGCAAUCUUGUGAUACUGUCAUUUAUGUCGGGCCAGAUGGAUGCGCCCUUAGUGAUCGCGAUCUGACCGAUAAUGAAGGCCCACCAGAAUCUGUGCCAAUUUUUAAACCUUCUCUUGGACGUGUAAAUGAAUCAAGAAAUGUUUCAAAUGAUGAACUUCAUAGUCGAUUAUCAAAGAUUGACGAUAAAAUAAGUCGAAAGGAUGAACUUAAAAAAUCUAAAAAGGACAGCGGUAGUGAGAGUGACACGGCUCGUAAUAUUGCAAAUCAUAUGAAAACCGUUGAUGAACAGCAAGAGCAACAAACGCCUUCCAAGAAAUCAGGAAUUCCAAGGCCUUCCAAAUCAAGUACAUCUUGUAGUAAUAAACGCACAAAGAAAUUAGACAGUUUACCAAUCGCAAAACAAGCGACUAAUGACACGCCAAACACAAGGACUGAAAUUAAACCUGAUGUCAACGAGGAAAGAGUUCAAAUGGCCGAGCAAAUUGUUGAAAAUUCUUGCGCUGUUGUGAUCCCUGUUGCAGAAACACCAGACGAUGAUGAAGACGAUGAUGCUCAUAAUACCUCGCAUGAUGAGAGCAUAAUACAUGAAUCAAACUUUGAAAAUAUCAAAAGACUAGCCGGCCAUGUAGAAGAGCUCUCACCAGAUAAGGAACCAGACUAUCCCAAAAUGGGCAUGACUGGUAGGAGCUACAACCAACAGAACACCCAGCAUAAUUUGGAAUGUUUAACGCAGUCUGUCAGUAUGCCGACAUUUACAGAUGUCCGUCAAGCAUGUCGGCCUGAAGGCAUGCAGCCAAAUAUGGAUAUGAUAAGCGAUUAUGUCAAUGGGAAUUUAAAUGGCGAGCAUAUUCAGUUGUUGUAUAAUGCGGAGCGAGUAAUUCACUCUGUUGAAUCUUUGGAUACAAUUGCAGAGCUUCUUGAAAGGCCUGUUUCGGAGUUGUCGCUGGUGAGGUCCGAGGAUGAAAUGUCUCUGGUAUAUUCUGAAGUCGGAUCUUUUGUAUCUACUAAAACUGACGAUUUAACUUCGCUUGACCAAGCGGCUCUGACAAUUGAUGACAUGCCACUUGGCUCCGAAGCAUGUUGCAUCGCCACGCUUGAUAGGCAGUCUUUAGACUCACUCUCAGAAAACUUUGACACAAACUUAAACACUGCAAGUUUGUGUGCAAACACAAAUAACCAAGGUCCGUAUCGAUCAGGUGGGGUGAUUGAUAAGGAGUUAAGGAACCUUGGACAUUACGUUUAUUCUGAUGAUGAAUCUGAGGUUGGUGAGAAAAAAGCGAAAGAUGAUAAAAUGUUUGUAGAGAAGGCGGAAAGUGUAUCAUCUGUAGAGAUCCGAAUGCGGGAUUUAGAUGCAAUCAAGUCAAUGUACGUUAUCUCAAACCUGAGUGUUGAUGACCUGUUAACAGAUGAUCCCAACGAAGGAUCAAUUUCAACUAUGGCAGAUUUUGAUAUUCCCAGUGUAUUGAUGGAUGAGCCACAGGUCGUUACGUACAUGACAGUGGAGGGCGAGGGUCAAGUGGUAAUGCGAGAGAAACAUCUUGCUGUCGACCAUCCUCUGAGGCGACUGAGCUGCAUCAGUGAUGCCACAGAUGCUACAUUCUCCACCUGCUCCCGCCCUUCCAGCUUCAUCAGUCAGGAAGACGAUGAGAGUGCUGACUUCUCAUCUGGAUUCAAUGCUUCAGACAUACAUAGCGUUGAAGAAAAAGUUUACUCGCAUCCCGGAUAUGUGCCAAUAUAUGCCAUGCAUUUGUUCGACAAAAUGACCGACGAAAAUGCAGAAGUGUGGGAAAAGAUGGACACACUAACGCGAGAAGCAAGUCAGAAGCGUCGGAUGAGUAAUCAAAGCCAAAAAAAUUCGGCGAGUUCUGAAAGUUCACGUACGAUAUCACAUUUGGAUACUAAUACCAUUCUACCGUGUGCUAAAGUCAAUCCAUUGUUGGCAAAGUUGAAGGCAGAAGCUGUCGAUCCAAGGGGCUACACAAGUGAGGAUAACUGCUUACGGGGCUCUCUUCACAAACAUCGUCAGCUUAUGUCAGAUGAACCAGAACCAGAAGAAAGGAAAGUCAGUCAGAAAAUGUCACAGUCUCAAUCAGAACCAACAUCAAUAAAGGCAAGUCCGCUUCACCAUACGAAGAUUAACCAAUUCAAUGUUGAACCUCUUCCUGAGGUUUUAUGCAACGCUAUUGCCAAAGUUCAAGAGAAAAUGUCAGUAGUAGAAAAAGAAGAGCAACCAGUAACAAGAAAAUGUGACAUGUGGUUACUCCGACAACCAGAUGGUGCAGCUGCCAAUGAUAUCCAAUCAGAGCCAGAAAUGGGUUUGAGAAUGUAUGAACGCAAGAACCAUUUCAGACAUCAGCUUAAGUAUGUUGAAGAGAAAGAAGUGUUUGAAGCCGUGCGGCCUCCGACGAUUGGUGCUUGUUCCUCCCCGACAUUUGAUGUUGAGGAUAACCCAUGUUAUUCACAAGAUUAUGACUCAGUCGCAGAAACAGGUAUCAAUAAGGUAGCCAGCAAGACCAAUGCAAGUUUGUCCAGUAGCGAGACUAAUGGGCGAGAACGUCCUAAGUCAAGAGGAAUCCUGAAACCAAAGAUUUUCUCCAAGUCUGACAAAUCAAAAAGUAAGAAGUCUGACAAUACUCGAAACAUAUCUAUGCAAGGCAAAUCUUACAGCGACACGGAAUCCAGUUGCCGUUCCAACCUGUUAUCAAGUCGACGAACCAACAGCAGCAGUAAGUUGCCCACACGUACAAGUAGUCCAUCGCAGAAGAGCGGACAGACUGCAAGAAAUGCUCUUAAAAGUGCCAAAACAUCACAAAGCCAAACCAAAUGUAAGGACAGUCCUCCUACACAGUCUUCCAGUAAGAAAUCCGCCGUUAGUAAAAUACCUACUGCAAAGCCUAGCCCGACAAACAAAGGCAAAACAGCCUCAACCAGUCCAAAGCACCAGGCAACCUCAGCAACCAGUCGAGGAUCCUCGCUACCAGUGCGAAACAAGUCCCUUAGUAAAUCUGCUCCGACUCUAUCCAAGAACAGCACCAAUAACGCGAAACAGAACAAGUCGGCGACAAGUUCACUAAGCGAUUACCUACCGGCCAACAGCUCGCCGCAAAGCAACAACAAACUUAAAGUGGGGAACCGUCUAACGGACUCAUCGGAUAGUGGAAACGACAGUGGAAUAGUCUGUGCAGAGAAAAGCCCUGCUAAAGUGAAGACGUCCUUCCUGUCUCCGUACUCAACGAUGACGGAGCCGAGGACAAAUCGCUGCUCCAGCAGCGGUCACGGAAGUGACAAUAGUAGCACAGUCCGAGGCGAUGCAGGAGCGCGUCUCCCAAGGCCCAGACCGAACAGACGUCUCAUAGAGGGGGAGGAAACGGAGGCUCCCGAUGGAUUGACCUCCCCCCAAGGAAGAGGUCCCAAGAUGAAGGGGGUGUCGCAUUGAAGUUAUAUAACGUUGACAAGGUGAAGGCUUGCCAGGCAGAAGGUGUCAAGGGAUCUCCAAAGAGAAAUCGUCAUCCGGAUCAGGAGAGUCGUCAGGAGCGUAUUUUCCAGCUGUCGGAGAAGCAGCAUCAGCUGAAACAACAGCUGAUGUCUACGAAGGCGUUGUUGAACGCCGAAAGCAGUUGCUG